AUACCUUUCUCGGCCUUUUGGCUAAGAUCAAGUGUAGUAUCUGUUCUUAUCAGUUUAAUAUCUGAUACGUGGGUCAUUGGCCCACAUGAUAUUAAAUUAAUUUUUUAAGGGAAGGGCCCAUUACGGUAGCUUGCUACUCGGGCUCUUACACGUCGCCUUGGCGCUGCACUGCUGCCUUGGCCUGGCGUACCCACC